rnacentral:rRNA from 1 species
GACGAACGCUGGCGGCGUGCUUAACACAUGCAAGUCGAACGAAGCGGCGAACGGGUGGGUAACACGUGAGUAGCCUGCCGCCUGCUUUGGGAGAACGGCCGGAAACGGCGGCUAAUACUGGAUAGAGGGGUAUGGGCUCGCGGCCUAUAGGUUGGUUGGGGGGGUGAGGGCCUCCCAAGGCUUUGACGGGUAACGGGCCGGAGAGGGGGACCGGUCACAUUGGCACGGAGAUAAGGCCCAGAUGCGUACGGGGGGGAGCAUUGGGGAAUAUUGCACAAUGGGCGCAAGCCUGAUGCAGCGAGUCCGAGUGAGGCAUGAAGGCCGUCGGGUUGUAACACUUUUUCGCUCAUGGUUGGGUAGUGGGUAAAGAAGCGCCGGCUAACUACGUGCCAGCAGCCGCGGUAAUUC